rnacentral:lncRNA from 1 species
UCUAAAAUUAUAAGAUAAUUUUUAAAGUUCAAAAAAAAUUAUAUCAAGGCAAAAAUUUGAAAUCCUCCGCAUCGGAAAAUCAUAGGAGGCCAAAAACCAGUACGGGCAACGGUGUCGGAUUUUAAAUCCAGAAGUGCCUACGCCAAACUUGAGUUGCAGGAUUCCGAAAAUGCAAAUGUUCUGGCCGGAAGCUCGCCGGAAGCCACCGGAUUGAGGCUGGAAAUUCUCUGAUCUGGCGAGGCUGAACACUGCUGCCGGCGGGGAANNNN